UACAGAGGGGGCAAGCGUUAUUCGGAAUUAUUGGGCGUAAAGGGCGCGUAGGCGGCCUGGCAAGUGGAAGGUGAAAUCCCUCGGCUUAACCGAGGAACUGCCCUCCAAACUGCUUGGCUUGAGUCCGGGAGAGGUGAGUGGAAUUCCCAGUGUAGCGGUGAAAUGCGCAGAUAUCAGGAGGAACACCAGCGGCGAAGGCGGCGCUCUGGGCCGGAACUGACGCUGAGGAGCGAAAGCGUGGGUAGCAAACAGG
rnacentral:rRNA from 1 species